UGGAUUAGUUUGAUCCUGGCUCAGAUUGAACGCUGGCGGCAUGCUUUACACAUGCAAGUCGAACGGUAACAGGUCUUCGGAUGCUGACGAGUGGCGAACGGGUGAGUAAUGUAUCGGAACGUGCCCAGUCGUGGGGGAUAACGCAGCGAAAGCUGUGCUAAUACCGCAUACGAUCUAUGGAUGAAAGCGGGGGAUCGCAAGACCUCGCGCGAUUGGAGCGGCCGAUAUCAGAUUAGCUAGUUGGUGGGGUAAAGGCUCACCAAGCCAACGAUCUGUAGCUGGUCUGAGAGGACGACCAGCCACACUGGAACUGAGACACGGUCCAGACUCCUACGGGAGGCAGCAGUAGGGAAUAUUGGACAAUGGAGGCAACUCUGAUCCAGCCAUGCCGCGUGGAGGAUGACUGCCCUCUGGGUUGUAAACUCCUUUUGUACAGGAAGAAACCUCCUCAUUUAUGAGUGAGCUGACGGUACUGUAAGAAUAAGCACCGGCUAACUCCGUGCCAGCAGCCGCGGUAAUACGGAGGGUGCAAGCGUUAUCCGGAUUCACUGGGUUUAAAGGGUGCGUAGGCGGUUUGAUAAGUCAGUGGUGAAAUCAACGGGCUCAACCUGUUAACUGCCAUUGAUACUGUAGGGCUUGAAUUAUUGUGAAGUAACUAGAAUAUGUAGUGUAGCGGUGAAAUGCUUAGAUAUUACAUGGAAUACCAAUUGCGAAGGCAGGUUACUAACAAUAUAUUGACGCUGAUGGACGAAAGCGUGGGUAGCGAACAGGAUUAGAUACCCUGGUAGUCC
rnacentral:rRNA from 1 species